UCCGUGAAGUGAAGUCCAUCCUCCGUGUGUCUGAAGACGAGCCUCCUUCUCUACACACUGACGGAUGAGCGCUUUCAGGAUCCUAAACUUUGGCUCCGCCCACAGCACGAGCAGCCGGCUACAACCACAGACUGUGCGUUUAGAUGAGACACACAUGUGCCACUCAUUUCCUCAAGAAAUAUCUCCUUACUACGCGUGCAAUUACAGUGGAAAAAACAAGAAAAGAGAUGAAAUCAGCGGAGAGAAAGGAAGGAAAGUCUAAGACACAAAAACUGGAGGCUACAACAGAGAUAUCUACAAAACUGAAGAUGAUGCAUGAGGAGACCGUCGCUCUCCACGCCGAUGAUUCAUGACUAUUCAAGUGACGCAGCACUCUCUGGUCUGAAGGUGUCCCAUUUUCCUCCUCUAUAAAUCUACCUGAGUCGACUUGUUUUGACAAGUUGGUCACAUAUCAUAGAUAGGGAUGACUUGCUGUUUUGAUAACUUUAAAUCAAACUGCUCUUGCGGCUAACUGUGACCGUUUGUUUCAGCACAUUUUGGUAACUGACAGAAACAAAUGUCUCUAGAGGAGAUAAGAGCUGGAAUAAAUAUAUGUUUGUCAGUAACUUUUAAGCACAUGUGAAACCAUUAUCGUACAUUUAUCCUGCAUUGUUGAUGCUGUUCUGUUAAAACUGAUGAAUCAUCUGAAUCACUGUGUUGUCAGGGUCGCUAACAAUCAUAUUAACAUGAUUACAACUUUGGCUCAAAUCAUCGGCACACCACAUGCUUACGGUGACAUUGCUAACAUGCUAGGCAGGUGUAAUAUCUUGCAAAUUAUACAGAACUCAAAAGUCAUGAGCCAAAUCUUUACAACACACUGCAGAAAAGGGUUUUUGUUAUGCUGUGUGGUCACGUCGAAGAAGUGACUAAGACUAUGCCUAUUCAUGCAGAAACAGAGCAAACUUAACACUGUUGAUUUUUGAGUUUGAUGUCGAUGCAAACUAUUCUCCCAUGAUGCAAAUGAGGCUGAAAUAGUUUGGCUGAAGUUGGUGGUGAAACAGUUCCAAAAAUAUUGUAAAACUGAUUAAUAAGUAUUAAAUCUUUGACAAAACAUUGGUUCUUCCCUGUGAGUAUAUAAGUAUGGUGUUUUAGUAACAACCCAAUAGCAACCACACAGGAAUUUGUCAUAGUUUUGGAAAAAAAAAAAAUCUGACCAGCUGAGGAGCCUGAAUGGUCAAGUUUUUAUUAAAUCAGUCUGAAAGUUAUUUGUUUCCUAAAUAAAUGCUCUAAAUGUCACCUUCUGGUGCCAAUAGAGAAACAGUCAGUGUUCAUUGUGGAGACCUCCAAAUGCUAUCAAAAAUUCAUGAAACCUUUCUUCAAUAUUGUAAUAAAUAACUUAUUUUUGGCAA